rnacentral:lncRNA from 1 species
CCGUAUAGCAUCGGUUGCAGAGCAGGUUAACUUCAAGUGUGAGUACGGAUAUUCAACAAGUUCCUACCAGGGGACAAGAAGGCUGUGGUCGCUAGAAGGCCGGUGUAUGAACGUAAAACCUGCUGCCGGUCACUCUAGCGGGAAGAGAUUCCCAUGCUGACUGACGAAUCCACACUGGUCCUAGAUAUAGGUAUAUUUUCCUAGCUAAGAGUCAAAUCUAGCUUUAGGUUGAUAUACCUAGGAUUAGGAGGAAGACAGAGGGAAGCCCUCGUUGUCACGAGAGCCUUGAGCUGAUUGAAUUCCUGGUCCGGAGGACUAGGAGUAGUCCGGAUUGAGCGCUUUUUAAGCGCUUAAAACAAGAGAAAGGAAGCCCUAUAAGGGCUUCUAUCAAGCGAGCCCCUAAACGAGCGUUUAAGGGCUCGUUAGCAGCUAGCUUCCCUUUAUCUAGCUCUUAUAGCUCUUUAGCAGCAACUGUAAGGAUAUAUGAAAGGGAUAUGAAGAUCUUAGAAAGGGGUUAGCAGCAAGAAGAGGUAGCUACAUAGCUCAUAGCUACAGAGAAGGUCGCUCCUUAUUCCAUUCGUUCCUCAUGGUAGGAGCGGUUAGCUACAAUUAAAACUAGGAAAACUAAGACUUAGAAGUUGGUAUUUCAUAGAUUUAAGUAAAUACAACAAGGAAGAAGAAGUCUAUCUAGCGUUCGUGAUCCCCAACUAGGGAAUCACUCACUUGCCAAAGGUUGAUUAUAGAUUAUUUACAUCUGUCUUUAAUAAAGCAAGAAGAACAACAAGAAAAGCUAAGACUUUUAAGUCAAUAUUUCAUACUUCCCUUUCUCUUCCUCUAGUAGCCGCUAACCCCAACCCUCCCUUUUUGAGUACGGGCUUGGGGUUAGCUACAGGCAACAACUCUAGUACGAUCGUGCCCUACAACUAGUAGGUCACUCACUAGCCAAGGGUUGGUUAGAGACAAGUUACACUCUCCUUGUUAACUUGAACAAGUUUAGGAGUUUUCUAACUAGCUUUUGGGUUGGCUUUACUCCUCUAGUUACGCUCGUGAUACACUUUGGUGCAUCACUCCCUGCUGAUUGAUGACUUAGAGUUUGAGAAAUUUCGUAUAUGAUCACAGAAACUCCUGGAAAGGUCCCGUAUAGCAUCGGUUGCAGAGCAGGUUAACUUCAAGUGUGAGUACGGAUAUUCAACAAGUUCCUACCAGGGGACAAGAAGGCUGUGGUCGCUAGAAGGCCGGUGUAUGAACGUAAAACCUGCUGCCGGUCACUCUAGCGGGAAGAGAUUCCCAUGCUGACUGACGAAUCCACACUGGUCCUAGAUAUAGGUAUAUUUUCCUAGCUAAGAGUCAAAUCUAGCUUUAGGUUGAUAUACCUAGGAUUAGGAGGAAGACAGAGGGAAGCCCUCGUUGUCACGAGAGCCUUG